GUUGCAUGUUGAUGAUGCCGUGGAGCAUGACACCGAAGAGGUUGCAGUAGAUAUGGUUCCAUCGAAGAUGCCUAACAAACUUGCUGAGUCGAGGAAAAAACAAAUCAAUCGAGAAAUUAAGAAAAAAAAGAUAAGAAAAAACAUAGGAAAUCAAUGCCUGACAAAUCAAAAUGGCUUUCAUUCACUAAUGAAUCGAGAUGGAAAACACGAGCGAGAGAGAGACUUGGGAGCAUAGGAGGAGGAUUGGGGAAUGGGCA
rnacentral:lncRNA from 1 species